AUCAGCUGCGAUAGCACUUUGAAUGCACCACUUGCCAAUAUAUCACUGAAUUUAAGCAACGUUGCGCGUGGUUGGUAUUUCGACAGGUGACUUGGGUAAUCGCGUGCUGAUGGCU
rfam:Asian citrus Psyllid, Diaphorina citri - Florida Strain, whole genome shotgun sequence.